AUUGAACGCUGGCGGGAUGCUUUACACAUGCAAGUCGAACGGCAGCGCGGACUUCGGUCUGGCUGCGAGUGGCGGACGGGUGGGUGAUUUAGCGGAACAUCCCCAGUUACGUUGUCUAACUACGCAACGGCGUAGCUAAUACCCCAUAAGCCCUACGGGCGAAAGGAGGGGAGCGUAAGACCUUGCACUAUUGGAGCGGCCGAUAUCGGAUUAGCUAGUUGGUGAGGUAACGGCUCACCAAGGCGACGAUCCGUAGCUGGUUUGAGAGGACGACCAGCCACACUGGGACUGAGACACGGCCCAGACUCCUACGGGAGGCAGCAGUGGGGAAUUUUGGACAAUGGGCGCAACCCUGAUCCAGCCAUCCCGCGUGUGUGAUGAAGGCCUUCGGGUUGUAAAGCACUUUUGGCAGGAAAGAAACGUAGCGGGCUAAUACCCCGUGGAACUGACGGUACCUGAAGAAUAAGCACCGGCUAACUACGUG
rnacentral:rRNA from 1 species